GAUGAAGAACGCAGUGAAAUGCGAUAAGUAAUGUGAAUUGCAGAAUUCAGUGAAUCAUCGAAUCUUUGAACGCACAUUGCGCCCGCCAGUAUUCUGGCGGGCAUGCCUGUUCGAGCGUCAUUUCAACCCUCAGGCCCCCAGUGCCUGGUGUUGGGGAUCGGCCCAGCCUUCCUGUAAGGCCGCCGGCCCCGAAAUCUAGUGGCGGUCUCGCUGUAGUCCUCCUCUGCGUAGUAGCACAACCUCGCAGUAGGAACGCGGCGGUGGCCAUGCCGUUAAACACCCCACUUCUGAAAGUUGACCUCGGAUCAGGUAGGAAUACCCGCUGAACUUAAGCAUAUCAAUAAGCGGAGGA
rnacentral:misc_RNA from 1 species